GGUGGAUUCGCUUUACUUAUGACGAAUCAUUCACGGACAACACUUUUUUCAGUACCAAAUACUACCUCUAAGGAUGCCCACCCCAGAUGGGACGGCCACUCCGGAAGAGAGGACUCCGUGCUCUUCAUGGAAGACGCGACUGGGUGGCCGGCCGGCCGGGGCCGCGGGCUCGUCCGAGCUGUAAGUCCUCUGGGCCCCUCGCCUGGGCGUCCUCCUGCAGGAGGCCUUCCAAGGGCCUCUCCCACUCCGGGGAAACAGCCGUGGUUUUGUCAUCAGUGUCACCUCCCGAGACGGCGAGGAGCGGCUUCCUGGGCCCCAGAGGAGACCCUGGUGUCAGCACCGUUCAGGGUGUGUGACUGGUUGACCAGAGGGGCAAGCACUCCGUUCACCCUCUGGGCUGCCUCGUCACCAACCCUCAGCACCAACCGCACCUGCCUGGGAGACGCGGAGGAGGUCCUGCCGACUUUGGGGACAGCGGUGGACGUGCGCCGGCGGCUGCUCCGUGGAUUCGGACAACCAUGGCAGGGAGGGCGCGUGGACUUAAAAAGGGAUGAGUUGUGGUGGUGGCAUCCACGUCACGGCCACAGCCUCCUUGAAGUGCUCCUGGGACAACGAGUUGCUUUCCAUUGAGGGAUCAGAAGCCAGUGGCCAGCUUCUGUUGGGGGUGUAUGACUGUUCCCUGAAUACAUACUUACUGAUUAGAUCUCGUACCUGAUCCUCUAACUCCUGGCCUCCCAUCUCUCCACAGAGGGUCCACGGAGGUGAUGCCCACGCGGGGAAGCAGCCAGGGUUCAACCAUCACAGGAUUCGAGGGGCUACCGUGAUGUGCUGAGGUGGCGAUGGCAGUGAGAUGGCAGCCCUCCUGGUCCAGGAGGACGAGCGGGAGUCACCGCUGCUUAGGUGUCAAAUUCUGCCUCGGAGGGCUUCCAGGCCAGUGCUGCUUCCAAGCAUCCUGUCCGCCCCAGUGGCCACUCCCAAGCUGCCCAGGCCGUGUGGAUGUGGGAAUGCCACCAGCAGUGCUGCCUCACGGUACUUGGAGGGAGGUUGUCCGUGGAUGCCUCAUUAUAGUGCCACCUUCUGGGAUGUACAUGGAGUCAGUACCGUUUGCUAGGGAGACUUCUUGGAUGUAACCCACCUUUAGAGAUAAGGUCACAACUCUGAGGUCAGUGCAGUAUAUCUUGGGAUAUAAGAAAGUUUGUGUCCGAUGCUGUCCGUUUCUUUAUGAGCAGUAUUGUAAACUCAACUUCUUUGGAAUGAACUCCAGCUUUGGAGGGCUUCCUGGACACGAGGUGUAAGUGAGAAAAGGACCACUGCUGUCAGCUUGGAUGCAAAUAUGAAAUGAGGCUGUGUUCCCUGCUAUGAUAGAUAACGAAUUCUUAUCCCUUGACCUCUCCACCAUGCAAUACCCUUGAAAGUGCUUCUUAGAUAUCCUGUCAAACAGGCAAAGGUGUUGAUGUCUGGGCUACUUCAGGGUCUAGGAUGGGACAGUUGAAUGAACUCGGGGGUAUGUUUCACUCAUGACCCUUUCUUCCAGUUUGUUAACACUCAGUAUUCCCUCUGUCCUUAGGACUUUCCGGAGGAGGCCAGCUUUGAAGAUGAGGCCCUGGCACCUGGUUAGUGCUAAUCUGCGGAACUUGAAGAUAGGUUAUCCGUGUAGCCUUCGCUUUACUUGUGACGAAUCAUACACGGUUCACCUAUUUUUUAG
ensembl:lncRNA